rnacentral:rRNA from 1 species
UACGUAGGGGGCAAGCGUUGUCCGGAUUUAUUGGGCGUAAAGAGCGUGUAGGCGGCUUGGUAGGUCCGCUGUGAAAACUCGAGGCUCAACCUCGAGAUGUCGGCGGAAACCACUUGGCUAGAGUCCGGAAGAGGAGAGUGGAAUUCCUGGUGUAGCGGUGAAAUGCGCAGAUAUCAGGAGGAACACCAACGGCGAAGGCAGCUCUCUGGGACGUUACUGACGCUGAGACGCGAAAGCGUGAGGAGCAAACAGG